rnacentral:SRP_RNA from 1 species
AGCCGGGGAGUUAGCGGUGCCCUGUACCUGCAAUCCGCUAUAGCAGGGGUGAUAUCAUGUCUCGGGGAUGUUAGUUGUGGAGCAGCCCUAUGUAAGUGGUGUUGACGUUUGGGUCUUACGCAACAGGAGCUUGCGAACCGUGUCAGGACGGGAACGUAGCAGCACUAAGUAAGAAUUCCUGUGUGCCGUGAGGUUGCCUGGGCCGAGUUAACUGCAUAGGUAACGUCU